rnacentral:rRNA from 1 species
GACGAACGCUGGCGGCGUGCCUAAUACAUGCAAGUUGAGCGCUGAAGGUUGGUACUUGUACCGACUGGAUGAGCAGCGAACGGGUGAGUAACGCGUGGGGAAUCUGCCUUUGAGCGGGGGACAACAUUUGGAAACGAAUGCUAAUACCGCAUAAAAACUUUAAACACAAGUUUUAAGUUUGAAAGAUGCAAUUGCAUCACUCAAAGAUGAUCCCGCGUUGUAUUAGCUAGUUGGUGAGGUAAAGGCUCACCAAGGCGAUGAUACAUAGCCGACCUGAGAGGGUGGUCGGCCACAUUGGGACUGAGACACGGCCCAAACUCCUACGGGAGGGAGCAGUAGGGAAUCUUCGGCAAUGGGCGAAAGUCUGACCGAGCAACGCCGCGUGAGUGAAGAAGGUUUUCGGAUCGUAAAACUCUGUUGGUAGAGAAGAACGUUGGUGAGAGUGGAAAGCUCAUCAAGUGACGGUAACUACCCAGAAAGGGACGGCUAACUACGUG